GCGGGCGUGGCGGAAUCGGUAGACGCAACGGACUUAAAAUCCGUUGGGCGCAUGCUCAUGUGGGUUCGAGUCCCACCGCCCGCACCA
rnacentral:tRNA from 1 species